rnacentral:tRNA from 1 species
GGUCUGGUGGUGUAGUUGGUUAUCACGUCAGUCUAACAGCUCGAAAAGAAGUCUCUCGCGGCCUCUCUGUCGUCUGCCACACUGAAGGUCUCCGGUUCAAGUCCAGGCUAGAUCA